rnacentral:rRNA from 1 species
AACAGGAUUAGAUACCCUGGUAGUCCACGCCCUAAACGAUGUCAACUAGUUGUUGGGUCUUCAUUGACUUAGUAACGUAGCUAACGCGUGAAGUUGACCGCCUGGGGAGUACGGUCGCAAGAUUAAAACUCAAAGGAAUUGACGGGGACCCGCACAAGCGGUGGAUGAUGUGGAUUAAUUCGAUGCAACGCGAAAAACCUUACCUACCCUUGACAUGGUCGGAACCCUGCUGAAAGGUGGGGGUGCUCGAAAGAGAACCGAUACACAGGUGCUGCAUGGCUGUCGUCAGCUCGUGUCGUGAGAUGUUGGGUUAAGUCCCGCAACGAGCGCAACCCUUGUCCUUAGUUGCUACGCAAGAGCACUCUAAGGAGACUGCCGGUGACAAACCGGAGGAAGGUGGGGAUGACGUCAAGUCCUCAUGGCCCUUAUGGGUAGGGCUUCACACGUCAUACAAUGGUCGGAACAGAGGGCUGCCAACCCGUGAGGGGGAGCUAAUCCCAGAAAACCGAUCGUAGUCCGGAUCGUAGUCUGCAACUCGACUACGUGAAGCUGGAAUCGCUAGUAAUCGCGGAUCAGCGUGCCGCGGUGAAUACGUUCCCGGGUCUUGUACACACCGCCCGUCACACCAUGGGAGUGGGUUUUACCAGAAGUGGCUAGUCUAACCGCAAGGAGGACGGUCACCACGGUAGGAUUCAUGACUGGGGUGAAGUCGUAACAAGGUAACCGUA